AUACGGAGGGUGCGAGCGUUAAUCGGAAUUACUGGGCGUAAAGCGUACGUAGGCGGUUGGUUAAGUUAGAUGUGAAAGCCCCGGGCUUAACCUGGGAACUGCAUUUAAAACUGACGAACUAGAGUUGAGUAGAGGGGAGUGGAAUUUCAGGUGUAGCGGUGAAAUGCGUAGAGAUCUGAAGGCACACCAGUGGCGAAGGCGACUCCCUGGACUCGAACUGACGCUGAGGUACGAAAGCGUGGGUAGCAAACGGGAUUAGAAACCCUAGUAGUCC
rnacentral:rRNA from 1 species